rnacentral:lncRNA from 1 species
CACGAGUCGGGACGUCGCUGGACAUGGCAGGGUGUGGCCAUGGAACGAGUGGGGACGUCACAGGACAUGGCAGGGCGUGGCCAUGGCACGAGUCAGGACGUCGUCCUGACGCGUCAGGACAUGGCCAUGGCACGAGUCAGGACGUCGUAGGACGUGUCAGGACAUGGCCAUGGCACGAGUCAGGACGUCGCAGGACGCGUCAGGACAUGGCCAUGUUACGUGUCAGAACGCAUCAGAACAUGGUCAUGGCACGAGUCGGGACAUCGCAAUCCAUGGUAGGGCGUGGCCGUUCCACGAGUCAGGACGUCGCUGGACAUGGCAGGGUGUGGCCAUGGAACGAGUCGGGACGUCGCAGGACAUGGCAUUGCGUGGCCAUGGCACGAGUCAGGAUGUGGUCCUGACGCGUAAGGACAUGGCCAUAGCACGAGUCAGGACGUCGCAGGACGCGUCAGGACAUGGCCAUGGUACGAGUCAGGACGUCGCAGGACGCGUCAGGACAUGGCCAUGGUACGUGUCAGAACGCAUCAGCACAUGGCAAUGGCACGACUCAGGACGUCGCAUGACGCGUCAGGACAUGGCCAUGGCACGACAUCGCACCAAGCUGCACCACGGCGCUCCAAGCCGCACCAUGUCUAUUGCUAACCAAUUCUUAGAAACAUGUCAAGCGCAAUGAUGUUGGUAGUCGUUGGCGGCGGUGGUGGAAAGUCAGAGUGGUUCGAGCGGUAGCGUCCGGCGAUGGCCGGUCAACGCUUGGUGGUUGGCUAUGGUUUCUUCAAAUCCUAAUCAUUUUUUGUGGUUCGGCAACACGUCAAGCGCAAUGAUGUUGGUGGUCUUUGGUGGCGGUGGUGGAAUGUCGUGAUGGUUCGAGCGGUAUCCACCGGCGACGGUUGGUCGACGCUUUGUGGUUGGGGGCAGAUUUUUCAAAUCGGAAUCACUUGUUGUGGUUGUGACAAUGGAGGUGCCUCGUGCUUAUUGGCGGUUGGUCAUGCAUUCGCUUUUAUAAUAAUAUUAUGUAUUUUUCCUAUUUUUUAAUAUUUUUUUAGGAAUUUUUAUGCAUUUUUUGUUAUUUUAAAUUAUUUUUGUGUCACUUUUUAAUAAAAAAAUUUACUCUUUUAUAUGUUAUACUAUUAAAAGAUGUAUUCGAAUUUUUCUCCAUCAUUUUUUCUAUUUUUUUAAUAAUUUUCAUAUUUUUUAGUAUUUUCUUUAAGUAUUUUUCGUUUUUAUAUAAAAUUAUUUCAAAAAAAUAUUACGUUUUUGUAAAAAAUAUCAUUUAUAAUGUAUAAAAGUCAUUUGUUAAUAUCUUACUUUGAUUUGUGCUAUUUGGUGUUGUACGUGCCUAUUAUGAUUCGCUGGCCAAAACAUGUCUACUCCUGAAACUUGGUUUGUUUUUAAGUAUAUAUAAGUGGGUAGAGGUAUUGAGAGGCACCUCAAGUGCUUGCUGCUAGGAAGGGGCGGGCAUCCAUGGGGGACGCUGGCUUGGGGCGUGGGCAUUGGGGGCAUGCACGGCUUGUCCGUGCUACGUCCUCGAUGUUCCCAAACCGUGCCGGCAAGUACUCGUGUGAGCUUGUAGUACGCCUUGUGGUGGCACCGCUAGUGGCAAACAUUGGCUUUUGGCAGCGAACGGUGAAGCGUCAUGCAACUAGCACCGCAAGCUGCUGUGCGCAUUGGGUGAAGCUCAGUACUUGUUGAUCGCCAUUGGAUGUUGCAGGCAAAAUCGGGAAGCGACAUCGCUCAUGGCGGCUGAUGGCGUUUGACAACAGAACGGCAAAGCGCCGUUCAAGUAGCGCUGCAAGGAGCCGUGCGCAUGGGGCGAAGCAUAGUAAGUUGUUGUUGAUUGCCAUCGUUCGUUGUGGGUUGUGUCUGGAAUAUCUCGUGGCGGCUGAUGGCUUUCGGCAACGAAUGGCGGAGCGUCGUCCAAGUAGCGCCGCAAGGUGCCGUGCACAUGGGGCGAAGCUCAGUAGAUGUUGAUUUCCAUCGGUUGUUUCGGGCAACAUCGCUCAUGGCGGUUUAUGGCUUUCGGCAAUGAAACAGUGGAGCGUCGUGCAAGUAGCGCCACAAGGUGCGUGCACAUGGACGAAGCUUAGUAAGUUGCCUAUUGCCAUCGAUUGUUGUGGGUUGUGUCUUUAAACCCCCCUCCGUGGCGGCAUAUGGCUUUUGACAACAAACGGCGGAGCAUCGUGCAAGUAGCACCGCAAGGUGCCGUGCACGCGGGGCGAAGCUCACUAGAUGUUCGUUGCAAUCGGUUGUUGCGGGAAACAUCGGGAGGAGACAUCGCUUGUGGCAGCUGAUGGCUUUUGGCAACAAAAUGGCAAAGCAUCAUGCAAGUAGCGCCGCAAGGUGNNNNNNNNNNNNNNNNNNNNNNNNNNNNNNNNNNNNNNNNNNNNNNNNNNNNNNNNNNNNNNNNNNNNNNNNNNNNNNNNNAAGCUUAGUAAGUUGCUGAUUGCCAUCGGUUGUUGCGGGCAACAUCGGGAGGCGACAUCGCUCGUGGCAGCUGAUGGCUUUUGGCAAUAAAAUUGCAAAGCAUCGUGGAAGUAGCGCCGCAUGGUGCCAUGAGCAUGGGGCGAAUCAUAGUAGGUUGCCGAUUGCAAUCGGUUGUUGCGGGCAACAUGGGGAGGCGACAUCUCUCGUGGCGACUGAUGGCUUUUUGCAAUGGAACGUCAAAGCAUCGUGCAAGUAGCGCCGCAAGGUGCCAUGCGCAUAGGGCGAAGCUCAUUAAAUUUGCAAUUGCCCUGGGUUGUUGUGGGUUGUGUCUGGCGUUGUUCAAAGCCCCUAUUCAUGUUUUGCGGGGCUUGUCUUGGCUUUGCAAUGUUGGCAUCGGCAACAACACAUGGCUGCGCGUCACNNNNNNNNNNNNNNNNNGUUGCCGAUUGCCAUCGGUUGAUGUGGGUUGUGUCUAGCAUUGUUCAAACCCCCUAUUCGUGCUUUGCGGGGCUUGUCUUGGCUUUGCAAUGUUGGCAUUGGCAACAACACAUGGCUGCGCGUCACGUGUUGGGGCUGGUGUUGGCUUUGUAUCGUCUAGGCAAGUGUACGUGCGGCACAUGUGUGGUGUUUGGCUUGUGCGGCUAGGUUGGAUUCCUGCUCGAGAAGCGACGUCCUAGCUCGCAUGCCAUCUCAGUCAUGUCACAAGUGCAAAUUAAGCUUGUUUGACGUCGGUUUCCUGUGUUGCAUACCUAAUGCAAAGGCAUUAUUUAGCACAAUCGGUUUCCUUUCACCCCUCGCGUUUGACGUGCGGGGUUAACCAAAAGCUGCAGUUGUGUCCCAGGUUGUCCUGGCUUCGCCUUGCGAUGGCUUGGUCCACGACAAAGCAUGCUUGGGCUCUCGGAUUCGGUAAACGUAAUGGGCACGGGGCCUUCAUUGGCUCUUAUAUGCCCAAAGAAUGCUCCUUACAAAUGACGGUCGUGCUCCCCAUGGACUUGGCCGUGCCCUUUUGGGUCGUCCACGCUCAUGCGACGCCGGCGUCAAUUAGGAAUGCUACCUGGUUGAUCCUGCCAGUAGUCAUAUGCUUGUCUCAAAGAUUAAGCCAUGCAUGUCUAAGUAUGAACAAAUUCAGACUGUGACACUGCAAAUGGCUCAUUAAAAACGUUAGUUUGUUUGAUGGUAUCUACUACUCGGAUAACCGUAGUAAUUCUAGAGCUAAUACGUGAAACAAACCCCAACUUAUGGAAGGGAAGCAUUGAUUAGAUAAAAUGUCGACGCGGGCUCUGCCCGUUGCUGCGAUGAUUCAUGAUAAAUUGAUGGAUUGCACGGCAAUGUGCCGGCGACGCAUCAUUCAAAUUUCUGCCCGGUCAACUUUCGAUGGUAGGAUAGUGGCCUACUAUUAUGACUCCAAAUAUUGACUUGACGGAAGUCAGGAAGAAUUCAGGUCAAGGGCUUAUGCAUUGCCCCUUGACAUGGCUUCGUUGAAGCAUUGACAAGCAAUGUACAAGGCUGGACGUGUGUCUAAGUUGGUCAUGGACAUAGGCAAGGCAGAUAGGCAAGGCAGCUGGAGUGUUCGCAAGGCGGCCUUGGAUCGUGGGCAUUUGUAAUGGCAAAUGGAAGCAUGGCACUUAACAAAGGCAUGUGCUGAUCUGUGGGACGACUUGAUUUUAUAGCAGGGCGUGGCUAUGGAAUUAAGGGCGAGGCAAGGUCCAAGGCAAAGCUGGGCGAAGCGUGCGCGGAUCGGUGGGAUGACUUAAUUCAUAGCAGGGCGUGGCUAUGUAAUUAAGGGCGAGGCAAGGUCCAAGGCAAAGCAGGGCGGGAGACAAAGAAAACGUGGGCAAGACUAGAGGCCAUCGUGUAGGGAAUGUGACGAAGUGGUGUGAAGGACAUGUGCUGGAAGUUGAAGACAUGAUCUAAGAACAUGGGCGGUUGGCUACAAAGUGGAAGACGUGGUAGCAACUGCCUGUAACCGCCUAAAGCAUGUACAUGGCACAUGGCACAUUGUAACUGCCAUUGGCAGCCCCUUUAUAUAGAUUGUAUCUCCGUCUGUGGAGAAGGCAAGUAGCAUUACAUAUGUGAGCCAAGUCUAAAAUGAGUGUCCUUUGUAUAUUCUGCGAGAAUUAAUAAAGGUUAGGUUUUACCCGUAAAUUCUGUGUGUUCUUAGUUUGGCUAAUGUCUGAAAAUUCUAAGUCAGACUUUGUGUGUGCGAAAAGUGACGGCUGAAGUGGUUGUGAGUGCCGCUGCCGUGCAGUGUGUAUUUUUGCAAAAAAUUAGUCUGAAAAUUCUAAGUCAGACUAUGUGUGUGCGAAAAGUGACGGCUGAAGUGGCUGUGAGUGCCGCUGUCGUGCAGUGUCUAUUUUUGCGAAAAAUUUACCCUGUAACAAUUGGUAUCAGAGCUUUAGGUUGUAACUCUAGAUCAUGGUGGGUGGGUCCACUUCAGACUUACGUGAUAGAGUGCAACGGUUGGAGGCACUAAUCGGCGUGACCGAUGAUACUGUAGAUUGGCAGAUCUGAUUACAGUGAUUUUAGCAUCUAAAGGAUGGGGUAGAUCAGUUUCGCGAUGGGAUCCAACAAAGUGUUGAAUCUACGGAUGGCGUAGUUGAAGACCUGAAGAAUGAGGUCGAAAUCUUGAAGACCAAAAUCAUUGUUCUUCGACAGGCGUUGGGUGCUCCAAGCCAAGGCAAUGAACAACACUCGAAGGUAAAGAUUCUUUAUCCAAAGGCGUUUGGUGGAACGUGUAGUGCAAAAGAAUUGGAGAAUAUUUUGUGGCUAACAAAGCUCCAAAUGCGGAGAAGGUCACAAUUACUAGCAUGUACCUAACGCGAGAUGCUAAAUUGUGGUGGAGAACUCGAAUGGUGGACGAUGAAAGUGCGGGAAGACCGAAAAUUGAUACAUGGGAGAAGGUCAAAAAAAAAUGAAGGACCAAUUCUUGCCUAGCAAUGCAUCUUGGCUUGCUAGAGACCAUUUGAAACGCUUGCGAAAAACGGGAUCUAUUCGGGAUUAUUUUAAGGAAUUCUCUUCCUUAAUGUUGGAUAUUCAAAACAUGUCGGAGGACGACAAAUUGCACAACUUUAUUUCUAAAUUGCAAGCAUGGGCGCAGAAUGAACUUAGAAGACAGAUCGUGAAGGAUCUCCCAAGUGCAAUGGCUGCAGCGGAUUUCUUGGUGGACUAUCGCAGCACCUGUACUCUUUCAGAUAUUCCUCCUACUUCAAAACCUAACAAACGAGUGGAGAAGAAAGGGGAAUGGAGGAAGGAAGUUCGAGAGGAAGUCGUUGAGAAGGGCAAGGUUGUCGAUGGGGCUGUUCAAAACAAAGGCAUCACAAACAGGAAAACUGAUGGUUGCUGGACGUGCAGAGGACCUCAUCUUGCCAGAGACUAUCCAAAUCGAGAGUGGGUAAAUGCUUUUCUUACUACAGAAAAUAAUCGGGAUUGAGAAGGCUAAGAAGUUGUUGCUGCCUUGGUAAAUCCUUUGCAAUUGUUGAAUGUUAUCUCUUUGAUAAAUGCUACAAGUAAGGAGACGAACCCUUAUUCUUUGCUGGUGCACAUCGAAAUGAGAAUUGGGGACAGAAGUGUGAUAGCUAUGGUAGAUACUGGCGCUACUCGCACCCUUGUUUCAGCCAGUUUUGUGCAUAAGUAUCUAUUGAGAGUGUCGAAAUGUCUCUCUUACAUAAAGACUGUGAAUACCAAAGCAUAAUCUAUUGUUGGUAUGGCUUAUGAUGUUCCUAUGUCUGUUAAAAACUGGAAAGGUAAGGUCAAUUUGAUGGUGAUUCCAAUGGAAGAGUUAGAGGUGAUCCUCGGAAUUGACUUCAUGCGGAAACAUCACUUUGUUCCAAUGCCUCACUCGAACGGAGUGAUGAUCAUCAAUGAUAUGGCUCCUGGUUUCGUGAAAGUUGUUUAUCCUUAUGGAAUAGAAGAUAUUCAAAGUAAGGCUUCGUUAAAUUUUGCCAUGAUGGUUGGAAAAGGUUUGAAGAAUGGAGGUGAGACUUUCCUUGCUGCUGCGGUUGUAGUGAAGCCUGAUGUUAAGAUUGAAGUGCCGGACUGCGUUGCUCAAAUUUUGAGUGACUUUGCUGAUGUGAUGCCACCAGAGUUGCCUAAAAAUCUGCCACCACGGAGGGCUAUUGAUCACAAGAUAGAUUUGAUGCAGGGUUUGAUGCUUUCUGCUCAACUUCAUAGGGCGUUGAACAAGGUAGCGGUGAAAAAUAACAAUCCUGUUCCGUUGGUGCAUGAAUUGAUGGACAGAUUGAGCAAGACAUGCUGGUUCAGGAAGCAUGAUAUACGGUCUGGUUAUUGGCAGGUACGGAUAACUGAAGGUGAUGAGUGUAAAACUACUUGUGUUAAGAGGUAUGGCUCAUAUGAAUUCCUUGUUAUGACGUUCGGAUUGAUCGAUGCCCCUGCUACAUUUCGCAACCUCAUAAAUGAUGGGCUGUAUGAGUAUACAGAUGACUUUGUCGUUGUCUACUUAGACGACAUUGUUAUCUAUAGUCGGACUUGGGAUGAACAUAUGUCACAAUUGAUAAAAGUGCUGUCUCGGUUGAGGGAGUACAAGCAGUAUGAGAAGUGUGAAUUUUCUAGACAGGAGAUCAAAUUUCAUGGGCACUUGGUGAGCCAGAANNNNNNNNNNNNNNNNNNNNNNNNNNNNNNNNNNNNNNNNNNNNNNNNNNNNNNNNNNNNNNNNNNNNNNNNNNNNNNNNNNNNNNNNNNNNNNNNNNNNNNNNNNNNNNNNNNNNNNNNNNNNNNNNNNNNNNNNNNNNNNNNNNNNNNNNNNNNNNNNNNNNNNNNNNNNNNNNNNNNNNNNNNNNNNNNNNNNNNNNNNNNNNNNNNNNNNNNNNNNNNNNNNNNNAAAAGGGAAUUGGUCGGGAAAAUGCUGGGCUGCAUUUGGUGUGUCGAAUUAAACCAUUGCCUUAGAACCAAUCUUGUGGCUUGCGGAGUUUGAGUUACUGUUUGAAGUGCAUACAGAUUCAUCCAACAAGCCUGUUUGAGGGAUGCUGGUUCAAGAAGGUCAUCUUGUGGCCUUUGAAAUAAGAAAGUUGAAUGAAGCAGAACAAAGGUAUUCAUAGCAUCAAGUCAGAUGCUAUGAAUUAUCCACUAUACAUAAAGACAAUGAAUCAUGCGAAGGAAGGUAGUGUGCGACGGUACUGGAUUAAAGGCAACAAUGUAUUACUGGAUACAACCUUGGUUGCCAGAUAUGGUGGUCCAUUCGAAGAGCAAAUCGAGGACUACUUGAGAUUAACCUCGACGAGGGCGUGGAGUUCAAUUAGUGGGGGUGGUUUGUUACUACCCCAAAUAUUGACUUGACGCAUGUCGGGCAGAAUUCAUGUCAAGGGCUUGUGCAUUACCCCUUGACAUGGCUUCAUUGAAGAAUUGUCAAGCAAUGUACAAGGCUGGACGUGUGUCUAAGUUGGUGAUGGACUUAGGCAAGGCAGCUAAGCAAGGCAGCUAGAGUGUUGGCAAGGCGGCCUUGGUUCAUGGGCAUCGGGAAAUGGCAAACGGAAGCAUGGCACUUGACAAAGGCAUGCGCGGAUCUGUGGGACGACUUGAUUUAUCGCAGGGCGUGUCUAUGAAAUUUAGGGCGAGGCAAGGUCCAAGGCAAAUCCGGGCGGGAGCAUGCGCGGAUCAGUAGGACGACUUAAUUUAUAGUAGGGCGUGUCUAUGAAAUUAAGGUCAAGGCAAGGUUCAAGGCAAAGCCGGGCGGAAGCGUGCGCGGAUUGGUGGGAUGACUUAAUACAUAGCAGGGUGUGGCUAUGGAACUAAGGGCGAGGCAAAGUCUAAGGCAAAGCUGGGCGGGAGACAAAGAAAACGUGGGCAAGGCUAGAGGCCAUCGUGCAUGGCAUGUGACGAAGUGGUGUGAAGGACAAGUGCUGGAAGUUGAAGACAUAAUCUAACAUGGGCGGUUGGCUACAAAGUGGAAGACGUGGUAGCAACUGCCCGUAACCGCCCAAAGCAUAUACAUAGCACAUGGUAGAAACUGCCCCUUUGUAACUGCCCUUUGUAACUGUCAUUGGCAGCCCCUUUAUAUAGAUUGUAUCUCCGUCUGUGGAGAAGGCAAGUAGCAUUACAUAUGUGAGCCAAGUCUAAAAAGAGACAUAGCACAUGGUAGAAACUGCCCCUUUGUAACUGCCCUUUGUAACUGUCAUUGGCAGCCCCUUUAUAUAGAUUGUAUCUCCGUCUGUGGAGAAGGCAAGUAGCAUUACAUAUAUGAGCCAAUUCUAAAACGAGCGUCCUUUAUAUAUUUUGCGAGAAUUAAUAAAGGUUCGGUUUUACCCGUAAAUUCUGUGUGUGUUCUUAGUUUGGCUAAUGUCUGAAAAUUCUAAGUCAGACUGUGUGUGUGCGAAAAGUGAAAGCUAAAGUGGUUGUGAGUGCUGCUGCCCUGGAGUGUCUAUUUUUGCGAAAAUUUGACCCUGUAACACCUACCAUGGUGGUGACAGGUGAUGGAGAAUUAGGGUUCAAUUCUAGAGAGGGAGCUUGAGAAACGGCUACCACAUCCAAGGAAGGCAGCAGGCAUGCAAAUUACUCAAUCCUGGCAUGGGGAGGUAGUGACAAUAAAUAACAAUAUCAGGAUUUUAUGAGUCUGGUAAUUUAAUUGAGUACAAUCUAAAUCCCUUGACGAGGAUCGAUCGGAGGGCAAGUCUGGUGCCAGCAGCCACGGUAAUUCCAGCUCCUAUAGCAUAUAUUUAAGUUGUUGCAGUUAAAAAGCUCGUAGUUGGACUUUGGGAUGGGCCGUCCGGUCCGCCGUAGGUGUGCACCGGUCCUCUCGUCACUUCUGCUGGCGAUGCGCUCCUGGCCUUAAUUGGCCGGGUCGUGCCUCCGGUGCUGUUACUUUGAAGAAAUUAGAGUGCUCAAAGAAAGCCUACACUCGUUACACAUUAGCAUGGGAUAACAUUAUAGGAUUUUGGUCCUAUUACAUUGGCCUUCGGGAUCAGUGUAAUUAUUAACAGGGACUGUCACGGGCAUUCGUAUUUCAUAGUCACAGGUGAAAUUCUUGGAUUUAUGAAAGACGAACAAUUGCGAAAGCAUUUGCCAAGGACGUUUUAAUUAACCAAGAACGAAAGUUGGGGGCUCGAAGACGACCAAAUGCCGUCCUAGUCUGAACCAUAAACGAUGCCGACUAGGGAUCGGCGGAUGUUGCUUUUAGGACUCCGCCGGCAUCUUAUGAGAAGUAAAAGUUUUUGGGUUCCGAGGGGAGGAUGGUCGUAAGAUUGACAGACUGAGAGCUCUUUCGUGGAGCGAUUUGUCUGGUAAAUUUCGUAAACAAACAGGACUUCAGCCUGCUAACUAGCUAUGCGGAGGUAUCCCUUCGCGGCCAGCUACUUAGAGGGACUACGGCCUUUUAGGCCGCGGAUGUUUGAGGCAAUAACAGGUCUGUGAUGCCCUUAGAUGUUAUGGGUUGCACUAGCGCUACACUGAUGUAUUCAACGAGUUUAUAGCCUUGGCCGACAGGCACGGGUAAUCUUUGAAUUUUCAUCGUGAUGGGGAUAGAUCAUUGCAAUUGUUGGUCUUCAACGAGGAAUUCCUAGUAAGCGCGAGUCAUCAGCUUGCGUUGACUACGUCCCCGCCCUUUGUAAAAACCGCCCGUCGCUCCUAUUGAUUGAAUGAUCCUAUUAAAUGUUCGGAUCGCAACGACGCGGGCGUUCCGCUGCCCGCGAAGUCGCGAGAAAUCCAUUGAACCUUAUCAUUUAGAGGAAGGAGAAGUUGCGGCGACGUGGGCGGUCUACUGCCCGCGACGUCGCUAGAAGUAUAUUGAACCUUAUCAUUUAGAGGAAGGUGAACUUGCGGAAGGAUCAUUGUCGAAACAUGCAAGGCAGAACGACCUGCGAACUUGUUUAAAAAUUGGGGAGCGGUGCAGCCGGGAUGCUUCGGCCUCCGUACGUGCGGCUUCCUCUUAUAUCCGCGACGCACGCUCGCGUGCGUGCCUAGUGAUUAAAUAACCCCGGCACGGAAAGCACCAAGGAAUACUAAAUUGAAAGCUUGCCCCUCGCGCCCCGUUCGCGGCGUGCGCGGGGGAAUUGUGCUUCUUUGGAAACACAAACAACUCUCGGCAACAGAUAUAUUGGCUCUCGCAUCGAUGAAGAACGUAGCGAAAUGCAAUACUUGGUGUGAAUUGCAGAAUCCCGUGAACCAUCGAGUCUUUGAACACAAGUUGCGCCCGAAGCCAUUAGGGCGAAGGCACGUCUACCUGGGCGUCACACAUCGCGUCGCCCCUCCACACCGCGCCCAUUCUCAUGGUCGUGGUGUUGUCGCGGUACGGAUACUGGCCUCCUGUUCGCCUCGAGCGUGCGGUUGGCCUAAAUGCGAGUCCACAGCGACGGACGUCACGACAAGUGGUGGUUGAAACUUAACUCUCGGAAUGUCGCGGCUCCAACCUGUCGCAUGUUUGGGCUCCCUGACCCUUAUCGUGCUUAGGCUUCCUGACCGCGAUCCCAGGUCAGGUGGGACUACCCGCUGAGUUUAAGCAUAUCAAUAAGCGGAUGAAAAUAGACUUACAAGGAUUCUCCUAGUAACGGCGAGCAAACCAUGAACAACCCAGCCUUAGAAUCGGGCGAUUCCGUCGUCUGAAAUAUAGUCUGGAGAAGCGUUUUCAGCGGCGGACUGGGCCCAAGUCCCUUGGAAGGGGGCGCCAGAGAGGGAGAGAGCGCCGUUGUGCCCGGACCCUGUCACACCACGAGGCGCUUUCUACGAUUCGGGUUGUUUGGGAAUGCAGCCCAAAUCGAGCGGUGAAUUCCAUCCAAGGCUAAAUACGGGAGAGAGACUGAUAGCGAACAAGUACCGCGAGGGAAAGAUGAAAAGGACUUUGAAAAGAAAGUCAAAAAAUGCUUGAAAUUGUCAGGUGGGAAGCGGAUGGGGGCCGGCGAUGCACCCCGAUCAGAUGUGGAACGGUGUUGAGCCGGUCUGCCGAUCGACUCGGGGCGUGGACCAGCGUGGAUUGGGGGGGCGGCCAAUUCCCGGGCUUUUGAUACGCUUGUGGAACUUCGUUUCCUUGAUUGUGGUUAGGCAGCGCGCGCUCCAGACGCUAGCCUGUGGCCUCCCUAUUCGACCCGUCUUGAAACAUGGACCAAGGAGUCUAACAUGUGUGCGAGUCAACGGGCGAGUAAACCCGUAAGGCAUAAGGAAGCUGAUUGGUGGGAUCUCCCUUAGGGGUGCACCACAGACCGACCUUGAUCUUCUGUGAAGGAUUCGAGUGUGAGCAUACCUGUCGGGACCCGAAAGAUGGUGAACUAUGCCUGAGCGGGGCGAAGCCAGAGGAAACUCUGGUGGAGGCCCGCAGCAGGCGUAAGGAAGCUGAUUGGUGGGAUCCCCCUGAGGGGUGCACCGCCGACCGACCUUGAUCUUCUGUGAAGGAUUCGAGUGUGAGCAUACCUGUCGGGACCCGAAAGAUGGUGAACUAUGCCUAAGCGGGGCGAAGCCAGAGGAAAAUCUGGUGGAGGCCCGCAGUGAUACUGACGUGCAAAUCGUUCGUCUGAGUUGGGAAUAGGGGCGAAAGACUAAUCAAACCAUCUAGUAGCUGUUCCCUCCGAAGUUUCCCUCAGGAUAGCUGGAGCUCGCGUGCGAGUUCUAUUGGGUAAAGCCAAUGAUUAGAGGCAUCGGGGGCGCAAUUCACUCAACCUAUUCUCAAACUUUAAUUAGGUAGGACGGCGCGGCUGCUUUCUUGAUCCGCGCCAUGGAAUCAAAAGCUCUAAGUGGGCCAUUUUUAAGUAAGCAGAAAGAGGCAUCGGGGGCGCAACGCCCUCGACCUAUUCUCAAACUUUAAAUAGGUAGGAAGACGCGGCUGCUUUGUUGAGCCACGCCACGGAAUCAAGAGCUCAAAGUGGGCCAUUUUUGGUAAGCAGAACUGGCGAUGUGGGAUGAACCGGAAGUCAGAUACAGUGUUAAACUGUGCACUAACCUAGAUCCCACAAAGGGUGUGUAACAACUCACCUGCGAAUCAAGUAGCCCAACAAUGGAUGGCGCUUAAGCGCGCGACCUACACCCGGCCGUCGGGGCAAGUGCCAGGCCUCGAUGAGUAGGAGAGCGUGGCGGUCGCUGCAAAACCUUGGGCGUGAGCCUGGGAGGAGCGGCCGUCGAUGCAGAUCUUUGUGGUAGCAGCAAAUAUUCAAAUUAGAACUUUGAAGGCCAAAGAGGGGAAAGGUUCCAUGUGAACGGCACUUGCACAUGGGUUAGUUGAUCUUAAGGAUCAGGGGAACCCCAACAAAUAGCGCGUUUCUCGCGUACUCCGAAAGGGAAUCAGGUUAAAAUUCCUGAACAGGGACGUGGCGGUUGACGGCAAGAGUUAUCUUUUCUGCUUAACAGCCUGCCCACCCUGGAAAUGACUCAGUCGGAGGUAGGGUCUAGCGGCUGGAAGAGCACCGCACGUCGCAUGGUGUCCGGUGCGCCCCCGGCGGCCCUUGAAAAUCCAGAGCACCAAGUGCCGUCCACGCCCGGUCGUGCUCAUAACCGCAUCAAGUCUCCAAGGUGAACAGCCUCUUGUCGAUGGAACAAUGUAGGCAAGGGAAGUCGGCAAAAUGGAUUCGUAACUUCGGGAAAAAGAUUGGCUCUGAGGGCCGGGCAUGGGGGUCCCAGUCCUGAACCCGUCGGCUGUCGGUGGACUGCUCGAGUUGCUCCCGCGGCGAGAGCGGGUCGCCGCAUGCCUUCCGGGUUACGGACUGGGAACGGAUCCUUCGGGGGCCUAUCGCGGGCGUCGAACAGCCAACUUAGAACUGGUACGGACAAGGGGAAUCCGACUGUUUAAUUAAAACAAAACAUUGCGAUGGUCCUUGC